AGGCAAUAAUGUUUGUGACUUUUCCCCCUCUCGCUUCGUUUGGGCUCUGCCUCUUUGGCAGGGGAGCAGAAGUGGGCAGGAAGAGAGAAGGGCAUGGCCCAGAAAGCACUCUCUCUCAAGCCCCAGCCCCUGUUCCAGUGAGGUUGCUUGCUCUUACGCCGUUCUGCCUUUUCCUUCGUCUUGCAGGCAAAACGAGAACGAAAGCAAUCUUGCGUCCUUGCUUACCCGCCUUUUUUUGUUUUUGGAGGCAGUGGCCUAAUUUUUUUGUACUAGUGUGGCCUGUGCAAAGACAAAACUCACCUCCAGACUUCACUCCCAGGUACUCUGCUCUGCCGCAAUUGCCAACUGACCCGCAAUGAGCUGCAGCUCCGAAGCACAGUGAAGAUCAACAGAUGAUCUUCUCCAUUCAAUCUCUCCUGUCCUUUAGGCUGAGGUAGUAGAUUGAAUAGUUGUGGGGUUUGUGUCCUAUCUGAGAUAACUAUACAGUCUACUGUCUUGGCCGACGAGACAGCUCCAUCUUCUGCCAGCAACAAGUGGACACAAAUAAAUAAUAUCUUUUACCCACUAUGCACCAGACUGGGGUGACUGGUGAGGGCUGGGAGUUGGGCCCAGCAAGGUGAGGUAGUAGGUUGUAUAGUUUGUGGGUACGGAGUGAGCCCCCUAGAGGUGAUAACUAUACAGUCUAUUACCUUCCUUGAGGCGCACAAAAACAGUGAGGCUCAUUGCAUGCUGCCAUCGCGUGGCCAAGGCGGCACAUUACAUUACCUUGCAAAAUGAAAAGUGCUUUAUUUGUGUGCACUAAAAUGUAUCAUUUUGCAUGACACUUGAAGAGGUCAUUCUGUCCUCAGAAACACUAACCAGCCCUCUCCUGAACUAAACAUGUUGAAGCGGCAACAUUGGCAGAAACAUUGGCUAAGUCGGCGAAAAAACUUUGAUACUCUUACUAGCCACGGAAUGUGAGCAGCAAUAGCCAGUUUAAGAUAGCUGGGUUAGCUUGGUUUAGCGGAGCGUGCUAAUGCGGCUGUGUGUGUGUGCCACUCAGGCUGUACGAGUUGUGCUUUAUUGCUUGUUAAUGUAACCCAGCGUUUUAGGUUGGCCACUGUCUUUGUUCAAGUUGUGCGUUCAGAAAAAUUUGUUAUGAUGGCAGGCCUAGUUACACAUAAAUGUAAUAAUUAUAAAUAAUUAUGAAAACAAAGGCACAUAACGUACAGAAAAAAAUAAGGAAAUUAAUUCAUUACGAGGCUUAUUACUGAGCCAAAUGGACAUAUGUGCACAUAUAGCAUGAGAUUAUGCACCAAGCAAAAAUGCACAGCAGCACAGAACUAACAUUAUUAAACUUCACCUCCGUGCAUUUACGCAUGGGAUAAACAUUUGUGAACAAGGACGAGGUGAAAGGAAGAAUAGAAAAAAGAAAGUCAUACACAUACAGUAAAUCGCAAUCUGCGUCACACAUGGCGUGUUCAAGGACCAUCGAACAAAGUGGCCGCAACGCCCGAAGAAGACACAUUAUUCGUGAAAACAUAAAUGUACUUACUUGUGCAAAAUUGGGGGCUUUCUAACAUAGUCAGUGCAUCCAAUCAACAAAUAAAUGACUCAUACAGCUCAGAAAACAAACUAAUGAUGCUGAAAAAAUGAGUUGGAAAGAAAAAAUGAGUUGGAAAUCUCAUAUCAAAAAUAUACAACAAACGAUGGCGAGAAAUACUUCAACAUUGAAUAAAGCAAAAUUUGUUCUUGAUCAAAAAUCACUCCACACUCUUUAGUGUUCUCUGGUAUUACCAUAUCUAACUUACUGUGUGGAGAUAUGGGGUAAUAAUUAUAAAAGCAAUCGUCACUCACUCAAAGUACCGCAAAAAAGAUUGGUGAGGAUCAUUCAUAAUGCCGCGUAUAGAGAACAUUCAAACCCUUUAUUUUAAAAAUCAGAGAUAUUAAAAUUUGCUGAUUUAGUGAAUUUUCAAGCUGCUAAAUUAAUGCAUAAAGUUAACAAUAAAUUGGUACCCAAAAACGUCAUACAGUAUUUCUCUAUAGGAGAGCAGAAAUAUGAUCUUAGAGGAAAAUUCAACUUAAAACACUUAUAUGUGAAAACAACGCUGGAAACCCACAGCAUUUCAGUAUGCGGGAUUAAAUUAUGGAACGGAUUGAGAAAGGAACUCAAACAAUGCACCAAGAUGAGCAAAUUCAAAAAACAAUACAAGCAGUUGAUGUUAGCUAAAAAUAAGAUAGAAGAGUCUUGAACUUGCUUUAUCAUGCUUGUCUUCAUCUUAUUUAUUUAUUCUUAUAUUGAUUAUUAUAUUUAUUGUUCUGUCAUGCUUCUUUUUAUUUUUUAUUAGUUAUUCAUUAUUACACUGGUUAUUAUAUGGAAUAAUAUGACAUGUAAUACAGGAAGUGAAUAACAUGUACUGUACAAGAUGUGUAACAGAUGGGGGGGUAGGAUUAAAUAAGCUUUGCUUCUUGCUACUCCUUUUGGACAUGUGCAACUUGGAAAUGAUUCAUGAGAUGUAUUCCAUUGUAUCCUGCAUGCAUGUUCAAAUAAAAUAAUGAAACCAAACCAAGCCUAAUAAGUCACA